UAAAUAUUGUGAGGUAUUAUAAUGUGGUCAUUUUUUAAAUAGUUUUAAUUGAACAACAAUCUUUAAAUCUGUUUUCAACCUUUAUCGUAUCUAAACUUCAAAUAUUGUGUUCAUGUGCUUCACAGAUAUGAGGAACAUUGUAAUCACAGGGAAUACAGCUGUUGAGGUGGGAGACGCUCUGAAUUUAACCUGCAGUGUUGAAAGCUUUCCUCCAUCUCAUAUCACAUGGACCAACACACACCUGUACAACGGACCCGCUACUAACCUGCAGAGCAACACUGGAUCAGCCACACUUGUCAUCCCGAAUGUGAAGACAGAAUAUUCUGCACGGUACAUCUGUACAGCACAACACCUGAACACGACUGUGACGACAUACGCUGAAGUAACAGUGAUUUUGUUUUCAAAGAUCUUAAAAAACUCUGGCUGUGUGGUUCAGUCGGAGGUCCUGAAUUGUGUGUGUAUCACUGAAGGCUUUCCUUUACCCACCAUCACAUGGCCGCUGUUGAAGAAACACACAGAGUACUCUGUCAUUACAUCUGUGUCAAACCACACAGUCAACAGCACCGUCAUCCUACCUGCAAAAGACCUCAGCAACACUUCCGUUGAGUGUGUCAGCAGCAAUGGACAUGGGGAAGCAAAACAAACCUUCACCAUCCUAAGAUCCAACACGUCGGAACAAGCGGGUACAUGUUCUCAACUAAACUUCAGCAUUAUAUCAUUUUCACUGUGACCUUUUUGUACUUAGACAACAGUUGGGCAAGCGGUCAGAAGGAACAACUAUUGCAUGUAUAUUAAUUCAGAACGACUUGGAAAGACAUUUUUUCUUGUUUCUCUUAAUUUUCAGGUAAAUCCAAUGAAAUAUUAAACAUUGUUUCACGGCUGGAAGUCAUCAUUGCCUUUUUGAUUGGGAUACUUCUUUCAGCAGUCCUUUGCUGUGUGGCCACACAAUGCCUCAGGUACAGCUUUAAAUCAAAUAGCUAAUUCAUAGUUUUGUUUGUGGAUAAUCUUCAUACAUAAACGCACAUUUGUUGCUGUUUUUAAAUAUUUUCUUUCACCCCAGAAAAAAUAAGAAGAACUCUGUAAAACUGGAUGAGACUCUGGAGAUGGUGACCAGCGAAGAGGAUCCACUGGUGUUGUGUGUGAGUGACGAGGCAGCGCUGAUCAAAUAAGAAUUAUUACCAUUACCUGUUUCUCGCCUCAAAGGUUUUCUUAAACAUAUUUUAAUGUAUUUAGCUGUAAAAUGAGUCAGUCGAGCCAAAAGCAAGCACCUGCCCACCUGCCGGAGCAAACCUUCCCAUUUGUUAUUGGUCAGCUCACAGCCAAGCAGCUGAUAGGAGCCACUGAGGAUGAAGCAGCUGUUGCCGGAAAGCUCAAGCAAGCACAACUUCUGUGCUCUGACUGAACGUACCGGGAGAGAGAGGUGUCGGGACCCUUUGUGUAGCUUUGCAGUGCAAUACAGACUGGUCUGAUUAACAUUAAUUUUACUAUGAUAAAAGCAAAUACUACAAUCAUGAGAAGUCAUCUGUUCGAGGCAAAGACACAAAAACUACUUCUGCAAAAUUGCAUUGUUCAUAUUUGCCUGUUUAGGCACAAUGUUCGCAGCCUCCGCUGUCACUGCAGGGACAAUAAUCUUUCAUCUGCAUCGUGUGUUGACAUGAACAGUGUUUCUGUUCAUCUUUAUUCUCUAUGCCUUUAUAAAAAAAAAAAUGUAAUUAAUGAAUGGCAUUUUAAUGCUAUUAAAUAUGCCUUAUCAUUAAAAAUAAAAAGACUGGUAAAAAUAGAUUAGAAACGAGAAAGUCUAACUGCUCAGUAAUGUCAAUAUACCAGAUACAAAUGUCACAAUACACAAUAUUGAUGAAUGUAGCAGCUGCUGAAUGAGUUGUAUCAUUGACAUUGUACCUGACAGAUGGAUGCUGCUCAAGCAGUGGAAGAGGAUCAGACCUACCAAGAGGCAGCUGAAUGGAGGAGGCGCUGUGGCAGCAGAGAGAGCAGCCACUGAUCUCGAUGGUGGACCCAAAGAUGUGGAGUACGCUAGCAUCAAUUUCUCCAUGUUGACAAGAAAGAGUCAGAGGGAGGCAGCAAAGAAGCAAGAGACCACAGAGACGGAGUACGCUGAAAUUAAGAAAGAGGUAAAAGAGGAAAGAGAUGACAAUGGAGGAGAGGAAGGUUGUGUGUUGGAGGGCAAAGAGGAGGAGGAGGCGCAACCUUGUGUUCCUAAAGAGGAGGAAGAGGAGGAUGUGGCAGUGUACUCCAAUGUGAAGGACAUAAUGGGUGAGAUUUGAGCACUGUUGCAUAGUGGAGUUGCGCUACGAUGAAGUUCUUUGCUCUCAUCAGUUGUGAUGGAUUGAAGUACUGGAUUGACACACCUGUGAAUGAAUGGCGUCCUGUGAGCAGCUGUUUUCUUCAAACGUCACAUUCAGCAAGCGCUAAACUGAAGUGACUGAGACGCAUCACACCUCGACAUGUGGGAGGCUGUGCAAAGCCAUUCAUUCAGCUCAGGGUGGAAUGGAAGAGAAUUUCUUACUCAAAUGUUUUUGUGCUUUAAUGUGUUUACCGUUCAUAAACUUUCCAGAUAAGUUUGACCCACAUCAAUGAAAAGUUGACACCGGUAUUUUGGGACAACCACCUCUGCUCUGAGUGUUCUUUUGUUUGAUACAUUUUAUUUAACCAGGAUAAGCAUGGGUCUUAAGUGUCCCUCUGGUCAGCCCAAAGCUCUUUAGAGGCCCACAUUUCUCUGCCUCAGGUACAAAUGAACCUUCACGUUCACCGUGUAGCAAAGAGGUUUCUCUUUUUCAGCAUGCUCUUGGGAUGGCAACGCUUUGUUAGACUGCUUUGGACCAGACUGGAAUAUCUCAACUAUGAUGGAUGUUCGUAUACAGACUCAAACCUCAAUGUUUUGAAUUUCUCCAUUCUGUUUUAUAUAUAUAUUAUUAUUAUGAAGAAUUGCUGAAUUACAAAUUACAGCUCGGUAUGCCUUUUCUUUUUUUAGCUUUUCAUUUGAUCAGUGUUUUCAAACUUAUAACACAUUUAGCCCGAUUUGUCUCUAAAGGCCUGUUAGUGUUCUUUAGUAAGAAGUCAUACAUUGCUUCCCUUUUUUUAAUGUGUUACAGGAAUCAUCUUGACUCAAGUACUAAAAGUGAACAGUAUCUGGCACAUGUGUUUGUCUGAAUAAUGAAAUCUUUGAGUGGUCCGUUACCACGAAGCCUUUCUAACUACAGAACCUGUGAACACUGCAGAAUGUACCAGAAGUGAGUGUUCAGUAUGUGUAACUGAUGAGGCCAAAGGUGAAGUCAGUUUAUUAUCUAGCACCUUGAAGUCUCAACAGGAAGUCAUUGGAGAGAAUCAAGUGAUGCUUUAUUAGGCAAUGUUUAAGUGAAGAACCACUUCAGGGACUUUUCUGAGAACAUAAAGAUGUUACAAUAAACCAUAUUGUUAAAAAUAGAAGUUCUUUCUAAGAUGCUUCAUGCAGCUGAAACAGGAACUAAGAUUUAAAUACUUUUUAGUUGCAGGUUUUUAAUGCACUUAAUCUUUGAUGGAAGUUGUACAUAAUUAAACUAAUGAUUAAACUAAUGACUUUUACAAUGGGCCAUCAUUAUUUAACUGCCGAUAUUAACAAGUAAUACAGACCAUUCACAUGCAUGCACAUCACUCUGCACGUAAUGUAUCAUGCCUACAAUGUAGAAGGAUAGUUUGUACAUAGAAUGUUUGGUUUCUUACAGUGACACAAUUUUCUCAAGCAGCCAUAUGGUACUUCCCCUUUCUCAGUUGUUCACCCCUUCACAGUCUUGUACCUGAUCUAAUAAAUAAAUAAAAUAAGACUUGGUUCACUUCACUCUUUAGUAUUUAAGUUGCACAUUAUCAACAUGAUAUAUUAAAUACACAUAUGAUAUUUUGGAGACUUUAGGUCCAAGAGAGGCAGUCUAAGUCAGAUCACUUGUAGAGAAGCUUCCUGGAAACUUGAUGUAGCGCAAAGAGGGAAGAAAGUGCAAAAGGAGGAAGAGUCAGUUCAGAGCUGAGAGACUCGGCAGAGAUCACUGUAGAGAGAAGAGGGAGAGAGAACGAGACAACAAGAGGUAAAACACUUCUCUUUUCUUCUUUUUUAUAUCAAAAUAUCAAGAUUAAAUUCAAUGAAAUUAAAUGAAACUGAAGAAGUCAUUCUUCCCUAACUGAUUGAAGUUU
rnacentral:lncRNA from 1 species